rnacentral:rRNA from 1 species
UACGGAGGGUGCAAGCGUUAUCCGGAUUCACUGGGUUUAAAGGGUGCGUAGGAGGGCAGGUAAGUCAGUGGUGAAAUCUCCAAGCUUAACUUGGAAACUGCCGUUGAUACUAUCUGCCUUGAAUAUUGUGGAGGUGAGCGGAAUAUGUCAUGUAGCGGUGAAAUGCUUAGAUAUGACAUAGAACACCAAUUGCGAAGGCAGCUUACUAUGGUUUUAUUGACACUGAGGCACGAAAGCGUGGGGAUCAAACAGG